rnacentral:rRNA from 1 species
GACGGAGGAUGCAAGUGUUAUCCGGAAUCACUGGGCGUAAAGCGUCUGUAGGUGGUUUAAUAAGUCAACUGUUAAAUCUUGAGGCUCAACCUCAAAAUCGCAGUCGAAACUAUUAGGCUAGAGUAUAGUAGGGGUAAAGGGAAUUUCCAGUGGAGCGGUGAAAUGCGUAGAGAUGGUGAAGGAACACCGAUGGCGAAGGCAGCCCCCUGGGCUGAGAUUGACGCUCAGGCACGAAAGCGUGGGGAGCAAACAGG